CAACAACAACAACUAUUAUUACAGUAAUUUUGCCUUCGCUAAAGAUUUCAUGUUGACGUUUUAUUGUACGUAUACACGAACUAAGGAAGAAAUUAUCCUCAUCACGAUUUAUAAGAGAUCAGGGAAUUUAGCGACGCGCUAAUCUGAUUGCUUAUCUCGCCGCAGUUAAUCAUAAACAUUUACCAGUAUGUUCCUCCACACAGCUGCACUGACCAAAGCUACCUGCGCCGUAAUCGACGACGCUGCGCUGACCUUCGCGGAAUUCGCUGACGUUGCUGGCGACUAUGCGUGCUGCACGUUGCAGCGAAUGUCUGGCCUGUCGUAUGUAUCUGUAUAUGCGUUCCAUGACUUCCAUCCGAUACAUCAACACUCGGAUACUGUAUUCGUGCAGUCGUCGGAGCAGGAAAUGCAUCUGUGGCAUUCCUCUCGGCAUUCCUGCCUUCAUCUGACAAUGCGCGAUGUCUAAUGCGCGGCCAUUUCCCGGAGGGAUGGCCUCUAUACUGCCCAGCACACGGUGACCUUCUCUGUAGGGGACGAAGAAAGAAUUGGCGGGGACUAGCGAGUUGUCGGGCGAGUCAAGCGACGCAGCGGCUACAUGUGCAGGCAGCGGCGUCCGCGGGCGGGCGACAAUUACGGCCCUUCUGUCCGGUCCGGUGCGGCGUGGCGGCUACAUGUAGAAGUUGCGCUCCAUCCAGCCGUCGGGGAAGCGGCGGAUGAUGAAGCGACGCAGCUCGUCGAAGACGAAGAAGAACAACGCGAACGGGAUCAUCGGCAGCCACCACACGAACCUGCAUGCAACAAGGAUGCCGGCCAAGGU